rnacentral:lncRNA from 1 species
AAUCACAAUUAGAACCACUACCCACCUAUUAGAAUAAGUACAGAUAGCCGGGCGUGGUGGCACGAGCCUGUAGUCCCAGCUACUCAGGAGGCUGAGGUAGGAUCAUUGCUUCAACCCGGGAAGCGUAGGUUGCAGUGAGCUGAGGUUGAGCCACUGCACUCCAGCCUGGGUGACAAAGCCAGAUUCUGUCUCAAACAAAACAAAACAAACAGCAAAGACAUGUGAGGAAACUUUGACGUGACGGAUAGAUUCAGCAUUUGGAUUGCAGUGAUGGUUUCACAGGUGUAUACACACAUCAAAACCUACCAAUUAUGCACUUCAAACAUGUACAGUUUAUUUUAUGGCAAUUACACCUCAUUAAAGCACUUAAAAAUCUCAAAAAAAUGUAAAUGUGAAGA